rnacentral:rRNA from 1 species
UACGGAGGGGGCAAGCGUUAUUCGGAAUUACUGGGCGUAAAGGGCGCGUAGGCGGGAUGGCAAGUCGGUCGUGAAAUCCCUCGGCUCAACCGAGGAACGUCGAUCGAUACUGCUGUUCUUGAGGAUUGCAGAGGAGACUGGAAUUCCCGGUGUAGCGGUGAAAUGCGCAGAUAUCAGGAGGAACACCGGUGGCGAAGGCGGGUCUCUGGGCAAUAACUGACGCUGAGGAGCGAAAGCGUGGGGAGCGAACAGG